GGUCCAUAGUGUAGUGGUUAGCAAUUUGGACUCUGAAUCCAACAGCUCGGGUUCGAAUCCCGGUAGAACCU